rnacentral:lncRNA from 1 species
AUGCAAAUGUGGGAAAUGGGGAACACAUACUCAGUCUCCUCCAAUACAGAUUAAAGUUAUGAUGUGGGAACCGCACCGGAAAAAGCUUAAGUGCCCAAAAGUGUAUAGGAGAUAUUCCAUUACUUCUGAGUAACCACCAAGCAGAUUCUAUGUGUUGUCAUCCCUUGAACCACCAAAGGUCCAGACCAUCAGUGGGAAACAACAUUGAAACCUCAGACACCCUUACAGUUGUCCACCGUGACUAAAAUAUUGGUCAAAUGAGGAACAGUACACCAGGUUUUGGUUUCCAUCAAGGGUAUGCUGAGGAAACGUAAGAAGUACUUUCUGAAGAUGUAGUUUGGUUCUGGCAGAUUAAGCACACAUCUGUAGCUGCUAUACUGGAAAAGGAAGGAACCACCCCUCAAACCCUCAAAGAUCCUUUGGAAAACAACAAUACCGAACUGAAACCAAACAACCAAAGCCAAUAUGAAACAUUGCAUUAUAUUUUAAUUUUAUAUUACAGCAUAUUUGAAUGAAACAUUCUGGCAGCUUGUGCUAACUGCUACAUUUUUCAGCAAUUGCCAUAAUUGCAUGAGCAGAGUAAGUAUUUUGGGUAAAAUAACCUUUGAUGUCAUAUGAUCAUAGCAAAGCAGAAUAGCUUGCUAUAAAAUGAUAAUGGAGGUAAACA